AUCAAAGGAACCACAGUUGCCACAGGUGAAUUUGGACUGGAUUUGGAAUCUAUUAUUUAUGUGAAGUGUAUGGAGUAGCAAUUUAAACCCAUAUGGUUAAGUGGAGAGAGGUUUGUGGUGAUGGAAGUGAUGAAGAUUGCUCUGUACCAGCAAAGGAUGUGAUGUGACCUAUGACAUCCUUUUGACAGUUGGCUUUGUGCCAGGAUUGAAAGUUAAUGCCAUCCUGCUGUUACGAACAAUAAAGAUAUGGAACUAUUCACGUGAUGAAGGUACUACAAAUGUGUCCAUCUUUGCAUUAAAUCACCGGAUUCGUUUAGUUUAAUGGUCAAAUUAUUAAUUCAGACAUUUGCUAACUGUUUGAUCUGUUUUUGGAUUGUUGUGUGGUAUGGAAUUGUGUAAAUGUUGGAUGUUGAGAUGCCAUUUAUUAGAAACGCAUGCUUCAACUGAUAAAUGUUUUGAGGUUGCUGCUGAAACUUUACUUGUACAUUUUUUUUUCUCCUGCCAUAUCUUUUUUCGUUUCUUUUAAGCAUAGUCAUGAUUGGUUGUCUACUUUGCUUUGACAUCUGAUUUUCAUGUUGAUCAGUUCUUUAAAACAUCAUAUUUCAAGACCCGGAUCCACCCACUCCUAGGUGCUCAAGAGACGAUUCAUAAGUUGUCAGAUUUUUGUAACCUGUCUGCAGUUUGAAUAAUGGAUUUUCUUGACACAUAAAUAGUUUCUAAUGAUAUCAGGAACCUCAAGAACUCAUUCAUAUUUUUUCAUAGAAAUUCCGUCAUUGUGCACUGCUAUUUAAUCGCUCUUUUUGGUUUCUUGCCAGAAAGUAGGUCAGUGUAUAUUUAAUUUAGUUCCCCUGAUUUUCUUUUUAAUUUAUUUAUUUUUUGUUUUGUUGGGUGAGGCAGUUUGAUCGAAUUGGUUUGAAUUGAAGAAUUCUUGAAGUGACAAGAAGGAACUGACUCAGCAAGUUUGCACCAAGCCGGCGAAGGAAUCAGGGGAAUGGAGCUCAGAUUGUCAGAGAUGACCGAAAUUGACCUCAGUUCAAACUGAAACGAUAUGUUUAUUUUGGUUAUGAUACAACUGAAGUGGAGAAGGAUAGCUCAGUGGCUUCCUAAGACACAGUUGAGGGAGGUAACAUUGCAGGAAGAGAAUGCUGAAUAUGAAGGGCAAUAUCGUUUGAAAAUAAAAUACAAGAGAAAAUUCUAGAAGAAGAUUUGCUGAAGAGGAAGCUAAUGGAGAUGGAAGAGAAUGAAAGGAAUUUGAGAUAUGAACUCGAAAAUGCACAAACGGCAUUGGAUGCCAGUCGAUCUGGUCAAUCAGAUGAAUCCAUUGGUGACCCAAAGACGACAGUUGAAACCGAAAAUGACGUAGAAGCUUAAAAGAAGGGUAUACUUGAAACAUUAGAGGAGAGUAAAAAAGAAUUGGUGCUCCAAUGGCUUCAUCGGAGAAGGUUGUGCCUGCUGCUGGAUGCUUUGGGUGGUAUCCACUUUCUAUGUUUUUUAUUAACUGCUAAAAUAGGUGCUUGCCUUACAGGACAUAUAUUUUGCUAGCUUUAACUACAAAGGCAAAUUAUGUGUGAACUGCAUGUUCCUUUUGUUUCUUCUGUUUCUUAUGGUAACAGAACAUUUUUGGCGACCACGUGUUUGUGAUCAAGGACGUUAAGUUUCGUUCUACUAAUUCUACAAUGUCUUUACAUGUCAGCUCAGUUGAAUGUAUAUAAAAGCCAAGCUGUUUAUCUUAUCGACCUCAUUUAUUCAUGUAUUCCUUUGUUUUUUCAAAAUUGUGUUGAAUUUAUUCAACUUAAAA